UGGGGGAUAUUGGACAAUGGGGGAAACCCUGAUCCAGCGACGCCGCGUGAGUGAAGAAGUAUUUCGGUAUGUAAAGCUCUGUCAGCAGGGAAGAAAGAAAUGACGGUACCUGACCAAGAAGCCCCGGCUAACUACGUGCCAGCAGCCGCGGUAAUACGUAGGGGGCAAGCGUUAUCCGGAAUUACUGGGUGUAAAGGGAGCGUAGACGGUGAUGCAAGUCUGGAGUGAAAGGCGGGGGCCCAACCCCCGGACUGCUCUGGAAACUGUGUAACUUGAGUGCAGGAGAGGUAAGCGGAAUUCCUA
rnacentral:rRNA from 1 species